AUUGAACGCUGGCGGCAGGCCUAACACAUGCAAGUCGAACGAGUGGCGGACGGGUGAGUAAUGUCUGGGAACCUGCCCGAUGGAGGGGGAUAACUACUGGAAACGGUAGCUAAUACCGCAUACCAUCGGAUGUGCCCAGAUGGGAUUAGCUUGUAGGUGAGGUAACGGUGCACCUAGGCUACGCUCCCUAGCUGGUCUGAGAGGAUGAACAGACACACGGUAACUGAGACACGGUCCAGACUACUACGGGUGGCAGCAGUGGGGGAUAUUGCACAAUGGGCGCAAGUCUGAUGCAGUCAUGGCGCGUGUAUGAAGAAGGCCUUCGGGUUGUAAAGUACUUUCAGCGGGGAGGCGUUACCCGCAGAAGAAGAACCGGCUAACUCCGUGCAAGCAGCCGCGGUAAUAC
rnacentral:rRNA from 1 species